AGCUAGUAGGAUAAUUUAUUAUUAGUUAGCUCUGCCCGGUGAUGUAAAAUUUAACGGCCGCAGUACACUGACUGUGCAAAGGUAGCAUAAUCAAUUGGCUAUUAAUUGUAGUCGAGUAUGAAGGAGUCCAUGGGGGAAAGCUGUCUCUUUUUUUAUUUCUAGAACUUACUAAGCAAGUGCAAAAACUUGCGUUAUAUUAUAAUAGACGAGAAGACCCUAUAAAUUUUUACUAAUAUUAGAAGAUUUCUUGAUCGUUUUUGUUGGGGCAACAAUGUAACACAAUAAAGUAAUCUACAAUGAAAGUAUGAUUUAAUAAAACGAGUUUUACUAAGAACAACUAAAUUACUAUAGGGAUAACAGCAUAAUUUUAAUAUUAAGAUUGUGACCUCGAUGUUGGAUUAGGAGCUUAACAAAUUAACAGUUUGAUUAAGGGGUUCUGUUCGAACUUUUACACCUACGUGAUCUGAGUUCAGACCGG
rnacentral:rRNA from 1 species